rnacentral:rRNA from 1 species
GGUAUAGUUCUUCGGAACUAGAGACCGGCGCACGGGUGCGUAACGCGUAUGCAAUCUACCUUUUACAGAGGGAUAGCCCAGAGAAAUUUGGAUUAAUACCUCAUAGUAUAGAUCAACCGCAUGGUUGGCCUAUUAAAGUUACAACGGUAAAAGAUGAGCAUGCGUCCCAUUAGCUAGUUGGUAAGGUAACGGCUUACCAAGGCGACGAUGGGUAGGGGUCCUGAGAGGGAGAUCCCCCACACUGGUACUGAGACACGGACCAGACUCCUACGGGAGGCAGCAGUGAGGAAUAUUGGACAAUGGGCGCAAGCCUGAUCCAGCCAUGCCGCGUGCAGGAUGACGGUCCUAUGGAUUGUAAACUGCUUUUGCACAGGAAGAAACAACUCUACGUGUAGAGUCUUGACGGUACUGUGAGAAUAAGGAUCGGCUAACUCCGUGCCAGCAGCCGCGGUAAUACGGAGGAUCCAAGCGUUAUCCGGAAUCAUUGGGUUUAAAGGGUCCGUAAGCGGUUUAGUAAGUCAGUGGUGAAAGCCCAUCGCUCAACGGUGGAACGGCCAUUGAUACUGCUAGAC